AUUGAACGCUGGCGGCAUGCCUUACACAUGCAAGUCGAACGGCAGCACGGGAGCAAUCCUGGUGGCGUGUGGCGAACGGGUGAGUAAAGUAUCGGAACGUGCCCAGUCGUGGGGGAUAACGUAGCGAAAGUUACGCUAAUACCGCAUACGAUCUAUGGAUGAAAGCCGGGGAUCGCAAGACCUCGCGCGAUUGGAGCGGCCGAUAUCAGAUUAGGUAGUUGGUGGGGUAAAGGCUCACCAAGCCGACGAUCUGUAGCUGGUCUGAGAGGACGACAAGCCGCACUGGGACUGAGACACGGCCCAGACGCCUACGGGAGGAAGCAGUGGGUAAUUUUGGACAAUCGGCGAAAGCCUGAUCCAGCCAUGCCGCGUGCAGGAUGAAGGCCUUCGGGUUGUAAACUGCUUUUGUACGGAACGAAAAGGUUUGGCCUAAUAAGCUGAGCUCAUGACGGUACCGUAAGAAUAAGCACCGGCUAACUACGUGCCAGCCGCCGCUGUAA
rnacentral:rRNA from 1 species